rnacentral:lncRNA from 1 species
GUGUAUUGUCGUUGUAGUUCUCUUUUCAUCAGGCUUGUAAGCAACCCAGCUGUAAUGUGACGAAAUUGUAAUGUAACUUGGAGGAGAUGUAGACCCCUCGAGGACUUGAGUUGAACACCUCUCUAUGCCAAUUGUCAUAUUGUUCAAGGUGCCUAACUAAAUCCACAUUAUCGAAUGAUUUUCAUGAUUUUCAUUCACAGUACUCAAAUUUCCAAUUAAAAUGAAAAUAAAUUACUCCAUCU